rnacentral:lncRNA from 1 species
UCUUGCUUGAGAAUGCUCCAAACACCUGGCUGUAGAAGGAAGAAUGGAAAUUGCAAUAACAAAAUCCUAAUUCUAAUAGAAUACUAACAAUGCUCUAAUUAGAAUAUAAUAAUAUUAAGCAAACUUAAUCAAAUUAAAAAAAACCUCAAAGAAAUUUUAAAUAAACAAUAGGAAUUUUUAAAGAAACAUUAGAAAAAACACAAAUGUGAUUCAAAUACAUCUCAAUUCAAUCUUAAUUUAAUUCUAGUUAAAAUCCUAUUGAACUUCAUUCAAAAUUUAUGCCAAAACUAAUUGAAUCUUAAAUCCUAAUAAAAUCCUAAACCCUAAAUCAAACCCCAACAAAAUCCUAAACCAAAUCCUAAACCCUAAAUCAAACCCUAACCAAAUCCUAAUCCAAAUCCUAAAUCCUAAACCAAAUUCUAAUCCAAACCCUAAAUCUUAAAUCAAACCCUAACCAAAUCCUAAACCCUAAAUCAAACCCUAAUCCAAAUCCUAAAUCCCAAACCAAAUCCUAACCAAACCCUAAUAAUUCCUAUAACAGAUUUAAACCUCAAUAACUAAUGAAUAAACCAUUGAUCUUAACUCAAAUUUUGCGCACUUCUAAAAAAAUAAG